GGGAUGAUAGGCGCUGCCUUCUCCGAACCGAUCAUUAUGGAGGCUACGCCUUUACGAUCAUGAUCAUAUGGUAGACUAUGUCUCCUCAGAUCAAAUAUAUGGUUGGUUUAUAAUCAUAUGGUAGUUGACUCCUCAGAUCAUUACCUCCAUAUAAUAAAUAUCCAGAAGAUAUUUAAGAAAAGUUUGUGAAGAACUAAGAAAAAC
rnacentral:lncRNA from 1 species